ACGGCUCAGUAACACGUCGAUAAUCUGCCCUUAGGUUCAGGAUAAGGACGGGAAACUGUCUCUAAUACUGGAUAUGGAAUUUGUGCUGGAAAGCUAUUUUCCUGAAACGUAAGGCCUAAGGAUGAGUCGGCGGCUGAUUAGUUUGUUGGUGAGGUAAUGGCUCACCAAGACUAAGAUCAGUAGGGGAGAUGAGAGUCUAAGCCUCGAGAAGAGAACUGAGAUACUGUCUCUAGCCCUAAGGGGUGCAGCAGUUACGAAAACUUUACAAUGCACGAAAGUGUGAUAAGGGGAUUCCUAGUGCUCAUACUUUGUAUGGGCUUUUGUCGAGUGUAAAAAGCUCGGCGAAUAAGUGAUGGGUAAGACCGGUGCCAGCCGCCGCGGUAACACCGGCGUCACGAGUGGCAAUCAUGAUUAUUGGGCCUAAAGCGUCCGUAGCCGGUCUGAUAAAUUUCUUGUGAAAUUGUUUGGCUCAACCAAACAGCGUGCAAGAAAGACUGUCAGACUUGAAACCGGGAGGAGCUAGAGGUAUUCCAGGGGGAGCGGUAGAAUGCUAUAAUCCCUGGAGGACCACCUAUGGCGAAGGCUUCUAGCUAGAACGGAUUUGACGGUGAGGGACGAAAGCCAGGGGAGCGAUCCGGAUUAGAUACCCGAGUAGUCCUGGCUGUAAACGCUGCGAGCUAGGUGGUGCAUGUUCUUAGUGGACAUGCGGCGCCUGAGUGAAGACGUUAAGCUCGCCGCCUGGGAAGUAUGGCCGCAAGACUGAAACUUAAAGGAAUUGGCGGGGGAG
rnacentral:rRNA from 1 species